UUCCUGAAUUUUCUUAGUCCCCUCUUUACUUUCUUUCUCUUUCCGGCAGUUACUUUUUGGUAAUAAUUCAAUACUUUGAUGGCUUAAAAUAUCUCUCUUGUCAUGGUGGCUUUUUCUUUCUUUUUACUUCUUUUCACUUAAAGCCCUGUAUUAACUGAAUGCAUGAUGAGGUUGUAAAGGUGUCACCCCAUGCUCGUGCGAUAAGGGAUGUGGAGGAUGAGGAGCUUCGUAGCUUCUUCAAUGGAAUGUCACCGCGGUAGUUUAUACUCAUUGUUGCUGCAAGCUCAGUAGGAGAGGAACUCUUCUAUCGAGCUGCUGUCCAGAUAUCAAAUUGAAUGCAGGAGAUGGUUUACAAGAAAGAAGCAAAAAUGGAGUAAAAUUUAGGUUGCUUUGCAGGUGCCUCAUCCCAUUCAUGAUCCCUUUCAUAGUAAGCCUAAUUAUACAAAAACAAAGCCAAACCUUAAACUGAACUUGUGGGACUUUGACAGCAAGGCAGAUGAUUGUUUCCUCGGCCUGACAUUGGUUGUGAACCCUGGCGUUUCUAGUUUAGGCAAGGAAGAGCUUUCGAGCUUUAAGAGGUUUGGUGAGGCUGCAAGGAGUAAUGAAAGGGCAUAGUGUGAAGCGGCAAACAACAAAUGCAUUGAAAUGCAUGCAGAUGCUGGUUCGCGUACAAAAUCAUAUUCAGUCACGGCGAAUUCAGAUGUUAGAAAAUCAGGUGCUACAGCGUAAGGCUGCAUAUAAGAAUGAGCAAGACCUAGAGAGCAGCUAUUCUAAGUGGAUGUCUGAGAACCAGGAUCAAUGGGAUGAUAGCACGCUGACUAAACAAGAAAUUGAGGCUAGAAUGAAGAGGAAGUAUGAUGCGAUUGUUAAGAGAGAAAGGGCCAUGGCCUAUGCAUAUUCCCAUCAGUUUUCUGGUCGCUUUUUUCACCUUGCCGAAAUGGGACGACUCCUCCAGUUGAUCCGUCCUUGUCAUUGUCAUUCAGGUUGGGGCCCAUUAUUGGCUGUUUCCUCCCCCCACCAGCCGAGUCAUUACCUCUGAUUGACUUUAACGUCUUUUUUCUUUUUUUCAAUGUGGAGGGAGCAUAGAGAUGUAAUUAUUUCAUUUAUUUUUCUUAUUCCUUCUCCAACACUAAAAUAAUUAUGUUAGGGAUCACAGUUAUUAUGCUCCUUGGAGCGAUUUGUGAAUAUAUUAUAGUUGUUUAA